rnacentral:rRNA from 1 species
GUGGGGAAUCUUGCGCAAUGGGCGAAAGCCUGACGCAGCCAUGCCGCGUGAAUGAUGAAGGUCUUAGGAUUGUAAAAUUCUUUCACCGGGGACGAUAAUGACGGUACCCGGAGAAGAAGCCCCGGCUAACUUCGUGCCAGCAGCCGCGGUAAUACGAAGGGGGCUAGCGUUGCUCGGAAUUACUGGGCGUAAAGGGCGCGUAGGCGGACAGUUUAGUCAGAGGUGAAAGCCCAGGGCUCAACCUUGGAAUUGCCUUUGAUACUGGCUGUCUUGAGUACGGGAGAGGUGAGUGGAACUCCGAGUGUAGAGGUGAAAUUCGUAGAUAUUCGGAAGAACACCAGUGGCGAAGGCGACUCACUGGCCCGUUACUGACGCUGAGGUGCGAAAGCGUGGGGAGCAAACAGGAUUAGAUACCCCGGUAGUCC